GAUGAACGCUGGCGGCGUGCUUAACACAUGCAAGUCGAACGAAGCCUUCGGGCUUAGCGGCGGACGGGUGAGUAACGCGUGGGAACGUGCCCUUUGGUACGGAAUAGCCCCGGGAAACUGGGAGUAAUACCGUAUGUGGUCGAGAGACGAAAGAUUUAUCGCCAAAGGAUCGGCCCGCGUUGGAUUAGGUAGUUGGUGGGGUAAUGGCCUACCAAGCCGACGAUCCAUAGCUGGUUUGAGAGGAUGAUCAGCCACACUGGGACUGAGACACGGCCCAGACUCCUACGGCAGGCAGCAGUGGGGAAUUUUAGACAAUGGGGGAAACCCUGAUCUAGCCAUGCCGCGUGAUCGAUGAAGGCCUUAGGGUUGUAAAGAUCUUUCAGUGGGGAAGAUAAUGACUGUACCCACAGAAGAAGCCCCGGCUAACUCCGUGCCAGCAGCCGCCGUAACAC
rnacentral:rRNA from 1 species